GAUGGACGCUGGCGGCGUGCCUAAUACAUGCAAGUCGAGCGAACGGACGAGAAGCUUGCUUCUCUGAUGUUAGCGGCGGACGGGUGAGUAACACGUGGAUAACCUACCUAUAAGACUGGGAUAACUUCGGGAAACCGGAGCUAAUACCGGAUAAUAUUUUGAACCGCAUGGUUCAAAAGUGAAAGACGGUCUUGCUGUCACUUAUAGAUGGAUCCGCGCUGCAUUAGCUAGUUGGUAAGGUAACGGCUUACCAAGGCAACGAUGCAUAGCCGACCUGAGAGGGUGAUCGGCCACACUGGAACUGAGACACGGUCCAGACUCCUACGGGAGGCAGCAGUAGGGAAUCUUCCGCAAUGGGCGAAAGCCUGACGGAGCAACGCCGCGUGAGUGAUGAAGGUCUUCGGAUCGUAAAACUCUGUUAUUAGGGAAGAACAUAUGUGUAAGUAACUGUGCACAUCUUGACGGUACCUAAUCAGAAAGCCACGGCUAACUACGUG
rnacentral:rRNA from 1 species